UGAAGUAUUUGGCGUUAAGAGCUUUGAACCUGGGAAAAUGAAAGGUUCUCGGUCUACGAAGAAAUACAGCUGUAUGACAGUCUGACUGAAUGCUCUUGAGAAAAAGUCUACACUCUUUCCAUGCAAAAACAAGCCACCAGAGCAGCCAAGUUAUUAGCAGUAGUAUGGACUUCAUCUUAAGCUUACUACAGAAAACAUCAAAAGGAAGAUAAUAAUUGUCCAGUUCUGGAAAAUGAAGGCAAAUCAAAGUGCUCGGGAACGUUGUUUUACUGUGGACACUUUUCCAUCAGGGAUUCCAUCAAGCUGUCAGUUGCUCAUUUCAUUUACGUCCUUCAGAAAACAUUGGUCUUCGCGCUUGUGUGUGACUGCCUUCGAACCUGGAUCCCCAAGGACUAAAACCAAUAUCCCUUUUAAACCUGAAUAUUACCAUAGGUACCGAAUGGGUCUUUAUUUAUGUUAAUCGAUAGAUUACA